rnacentral:rRNA from 1 species
AACGAACGCUGGCGGCAGGCUUAACACAUGCAAGUCGAGCGCCUCGCAAGAGGAGCGGCAGACGGGUGAGUACCGCGUGGGAACGUACCCUUAUCUUCGGAAUAGCUCUGGGAAACUGGAAGUAAUACCGAAUGUGUCCUUAGGGGGAAAGAUUUAUCGGAUAAGGAUCGGCCCGCGUUGGAUUAGCUAGUUGGUGGGGUAAAGGCCUACCAAGGCGACGAUCCAUAGCUGGUCUGAGAGGAUGAUCAGCCACAUUGGGACUGAGACACGGCCCAAACUCCUACGGGAGGCAGCAGUGGGGAAUAUUGGACAAUGGGCGCAAGCCUGAUCCAGCCAUGCCGCGUGAGUGAUGAAGGCCUUAGGGUUGUAAAGCUCUUUCACCGGAGAAGAUAAUGACGGUAUCCGGAGAAGAAGCCCCGGCUAACUUCGUG